rnacentral:rRNA from 1 species
GACGAACCGUGCGAACGUUAUUCGGAAUCACUGGGCUUAAAGCGCGUGUAGGCGGCCCGGCGCGUCGGAUGCUGAAAUCCCCCGGCUCAACCGGGGAAGGGGCGCCGAUACGGCCGGGCUGGAGGGGGGUAGGGGGCGCUGGAACUCACGGUGGAGCGGUGAAGUGCGUUGAGAUCGUGAGGAACGCCCGCGGCGAAAGCGAGCGCCUGGACCCUUUCUGACGCUGAGACGCGAAAGCCAGGGGAGCGAACGGG